rnacentral:rRNA from 1 species
UACGUAGGGGGCUAGCGUUGUCCGGAAUCAUUGGGCGUAAAGAGCGUGUAGGCGGCCCGGUAAGUCCGCUGUGAAAGUCGGGGGCUCAACCCUCGAAUGCCGGUGGAUACUGUCGGGCUAGAGUGCGGAAGAGGCGAGUGGAAUUCCCGGUGUAGCGGUGAAAUGCGCAGAUAUCGGGAGGAACACCUAUUGCGAAGGCAGCUCGCUGGGACGUCACGACGCUGAGACGCGAAAGCGUGGGGAGCAAACAGG